UUCCCACCAGCAAUUAAAGUCAUCUGCAAGAACACUAACUUCUGGGCCUCUCUAGGAGCCCUCUGGGAAGAGCACUUGCUGAUCUGCUGGCUAUUUACUAAAAAGUUGUCUUUAGCCAAAAGCUGGUAUUCUGAAAGUACGUCAUUUGACAGAGUCAAGUCAGCCCGUUUUGGAAGAUGUGUCUUCAGAAUUUUCUUUUAAACUUAAUCCGGGUAUAAGGAAUAAUAAAGUAAACUCAGGUUUGAAUCCUGGCCACUACACUUCCUUGGAACAGCUGCUUCCUUUCUCUGAAUCUCACUGUCCUGCCACUCCCUGCCACCCCUAACCCCCCUAAGUGGAGGUGGGAAGCAUGUGUUCAUAAGACUGCUUGGAGAUAAACAGAUGACUUCAAAGUGCUUCAUAAGUGGUAUAGACUUGGCAGCUGUGCUUCCCAGCUACGGGAACUUGAAUUGCAAUGAAUGCAGGGCCUUGGACCACCUGGGACUCCUGGACUUCUAAUAGAGGCGUGCAAGACCUUCACUGGCCACUCAGGUUCUACCUAUCAGAAAUCCUGACCACUGGAUCAUCCAGCAUAAUAACCAAGAAGUCAGCCUGGAGCAGGACCCAGUGAAGGGGAAAAAAAUCACUAACGUCUGACUGGCAGAAUGAACCCUUGGAGCCAGCAGCAAGCAGAGCCCAGAUCAGACUUCCAGUCCCUGCUGGCAGUGUCUAAGGAACCACCGCACCCUGUCAGCUCCCUACCCGUGUCAUCCAGCCAGUCUUUGUGGUCACACUGAUGAAGUUCUGGCUGCGUGCUUCUGCAGUUGGUAGCACCUUAAAAACCACUGGCUCCAAGUUGCUGAAAUGUGUGCUCCACUAUUUUUCUCUGGUUUUUGUCCAGAUAAGCCAUGCAAACAGUACUGAAAGCUCUCUUCCCAGGGGUCCCUCACCCACUCACCUUAAUAAUAUAAGUUUGAAUAAUAUAAGUUUGAAGCCAUUUGUCAACCAAGGCUAGCCAGAAAAAUCAGAUGUAGAGAGUCUCAGAGCUGAUCUGGGCAUUCCAGAAAGCCAAUAUGAAGAAAUGGGACUGAAGCCUUCUGGUCUCAAACCUUCCCUGCUUCUUUCCCAGUCACACACUUGAGAGCAAGCACAGUAUCAAAGGGGCCACAUUCCCAAGGGCCUUAAAGUGAAAAAAGCACAGUGGAUGGCUUUUAGUGCACACUGUGUCAUGAAGACUUACUCAGGCCAGAGGGCAGGCAGGGCAGGGAUCUCUGGAGCCACUCGAUCAGGCCCUAGCCGUGAGAGCUCAGGCUGAACAGGACAUGACCGCUCUCUCUGCUGCUCCUGAGAAGUAGGCCAGCUUAGUCAGUGGAUCACUUUGACUGCAGUGAAAUGAGAGGGUUUGGUUCUCGCUUGUUCCAAGUCAAAUAGGAACCACAUGAACAUCAGACUCACAGUUGCCACUUUACCGUCUCCCCCAUUAUUUUCCAAACCACCAUGGCUCACAGGCAUCAGGGCACACAGGGUCGUGUCUGGGGCCUGUUUCUUAGUCCUCUCACCGCGAUGUAGAACGCCAGCAUUUUCCCUGAAAGAACCGGGCCAGGCCCACCCACCCGCCUGCCUCAAUCAGCCACAAACCUCUGGAGUGGGGGGGUAGGGGUGGGAGUCAGCACUGGGGGUGUUCAAAAACCCAGUGGGCAUCUUUUCAGGGCUGGUUGGUUUGUCCUGAGGAGCUGUGACUACUGAUGUGUGAGCCAGUCCUGAGCCCCAAUCUACAUUCAUUCAGCCCAGGGCCAAGUUGCAAGACAUCUUCUGAGGCUGAAGCUCUAGGAUAUAAACUGGUAGGUUUUGAUCCAGAAAGGAAAAUAGCUGUCUGUCCAUUUAUUCCAAGUCUGUUUCAGUACAUUUCAGGCCCCUCUGAUUCAAAUAACAUCUUUUACCACUAAGAUAAAUGAGACCAAAGCAAUGAAAGGGAUUUGGUCUUACAAGAAAAAAACUCCAAAGUCAAUGCAAACAGGGGCUAUUGAGGACAACCUUCAGUCACCAAGACCUCAAACUAUCCAGUGUCCCCAGAAAUAAGACAACUAACUGGCUUGUGAACAUGGAUUGGGCUUUGGUGCCUUGGAGUUCCAGAAUGAAUAUCUAAAAUGGAAACCUGGAAACAAGCUAGGUGCCCAACAACAGCAGAAUGGCUGAGAAAGUUGUGGUCUAUAUACACAAUGGAAUACUACUCAACUAUGAAGAAUAAUGAACCCACCUUCUCCAACCCAUCUUGGAUGGAGCUAAAAGGAAAUAUGUUAAGUGAGAUAAGCCGCAAAGAGAAAGAUGUGUAUGGGAUGAUCUCACUCAUAAACAGAAGCUGAGAAAGGUGUGGAGCUGUACCCCUCUUAUCCUAUGGUUUUUGUCAGUGUUUCCUUUUUAUAAAUAAAAUUUUUUUUAAAAAAGCUAAGAAAGAACAGAAAGGGAAACACAAAGCAGAAUUUGACUGAGUUUAGAGUAUUGCACCAAAGUAAAAAAAAAAAAACUCUGGGGGGAGUGGAGGGUAGAUUUUCAGCUCUACUAUAGGGGGGGUGGGAAUAGGGACACAGACCUUUGGUGGUAGGAAUGAUGAUAAUAUAUAUUCCUAUUAACUUAUAGUUUUACUUUUUUAAUUUUAUUGGGGAUUUAAUAUUGAUUUACAAAAUUACAUGUCAACAGGGGCAUAAAUCCACUCCAUUCCCACCACCAGGGUUCUGAAUCCUGAGUCUCUCAACUGCAAGCCACCACAUGGGCCAGCCAUCAUCUCUACAACUAUCUGUCUACAUUUAUACAUAAUUGCCCCAUUUUUCUUCCUGAUCCAGUCUUCUCUUCCCCUCCAAGCCACUCAUGACAACACUACCACCUCCAUAUGCCCCUCUUUUUUUUCUUCCUCUCUCUCUGAAUGCUGAUGAAGUUGGAGUUCAAAGCCCUCUUAUUUUAUUCCUAUCACUUCUCCCCCACUGGGAGUAUGGAUCAGGGUUGUUUUUGUGGUACAGAAGUUAGGAGCUCUGGCUUCUGUAAUUGCUUCUCCACUGCACAUGGGCACUGGUAGGUCGAUCCAUACCCCCAACCUGUUUCUAUAACCCAGUGGGCCAGAGCUCUGGAGAGGCAAGAUUCCAGGACACACUGGUGAGGUCAUGUGCCCAGAGAAGUCAGGAUGGAAUCAUAGUAGCAUCUGUAACUUGGUGUCUGGAAGGUGGCAUGACAUAAAUUGAGACAAAAUGGUUAAUGAACAGGAACCAAAAAGUAGGAAUAGAGCAGAUGAGAAUAGGGAUUUUAGGGUGGAAGAAAGCUAGAAAGUCCAUCUUAGUCAUGUUCCUGAGGGCACACGAUUAUGAUAGUUUUGCUUGAGUUUGAUAGCUAGCCUGAAGUUGGAUAAAAAUAUUGUCUGAAAAAAUGGUGUCAGAGUAGAGAUAAUAGGCUAGAAAGUUGGAUUAGAGCAGUGAGUAGCUCCCAUUUUUGAAAAAGAAAAAAAAAAUCUGUUGUU